GAUGAACGCUGGCGGCGUGCCUAAUACAUGCAAGUCGAGCGAACGGACGAGAAGCUUGCUUCUCUGAUGUUAGCGGCGGACGGGUGAGUAACACGUGGAUAACCUACCUAUAAGACUGGGAUAACUUCGGGAAACCGGAACUAAUACCGGAUGAUAUUUUGAACCGCAUGGUUCAAAAGUGAAAGACGGUCUUGCUGUCACUUAUAGAUGGAUCCGCGCUGCAUUAGCUAGUUGGUAGGUAACGGCUUACCAAGGCAACGAUGCAUAGCCGACCUGAGAGGGUGAUCGGCCACACUGGAACUGAGACACGGUCCAGACUCCUACGGGAGGCAGCAGUAGGGAAUCUUCCGCAAUGGGCGAAAGCCUGACGGAGCAACGCCGCGUGAGUGAUGAAGGUCUUCGGAUCGUAAAACUCUGUUAUUAGGGAAGAACAUAUGUGUAAGUAACUGUGCACAUCUUGACGGUACCUAAUCAGAAAGCCACGGCUAACUACGUG
rnacentral:rRNA from 1 species